AUGGCGCCGUUGCCGGGGAGGUCUACGCAAAAGUCAACAUACCAAGUACCCAUCACAUACCCUUAUCUCCCGCAUUACAUUAUUUGCCAUUUGCCUCUCGUUUUCCUCUCCCCCAAUUCACCCUUGUCGUUUUAUUCGCCCUCUCUCUCUAUCCUCCCUCUCUUUCUCUAUUUGCCUCUUUUUGCCCGUUUGCUUUUUGUUUGCUUGCUUGUCACGAUGGUGCAAGAUAAUACUAAAUUCAGUGUCCUUCACCUUAAAAGGUUAGAAGAGAUCGAAAGCAAUGUUAGGAGUUUUAUGAUUUUGCAAUUUGAGCAUAAUAGUUUCUUCAGAAACGAGCUUAAAGAACAGAAAAGUUUUAUGAGUUUUAUGAAUAAAGAGCUUGAUGAUAUGUCUAAAGAAUUCAAUGGUUUAAGAUCCCAACUUGCUCGUCUUGAGAAAUUAACUGCUGAAAUUUCGGAUAAGCAGGCUACCUUAGUUAAUAAGAUGGCCGCCAAACCGAGUUGCUAUGAAAAUAAUGAUGAAGAUCUAAAAGUUAUUGAUGUGUCCCCUAUUAAAUCUUUGUUUUUCAAUAUGAAUCUUGAUAAUGAUGGGACUGAAUAUGAUCCACCUUUACCUAGAAGGCGUUCCAAGAAUUCUGAAUCUUUUGAUCUUGAUGCUAAAUUUGAUAAAAGUGGGAUUGAAGAAAUUAAAACCCUAGAUGUUGCUAAACCCACUAUUAUGGAUUUCAAGGAAUUUAACUAUGAAAAUUGCUCUUUGAUUGAUUGUAUUUCCUUGUUGCAAUCCGUGCUAAAUUCUCCUCAUGCCUAUAGUCAAAAUAAAGCGUUUACUAAACAUAUCGUUGAUGCCUUGAUGCAAUCUUAUGAAGAAAAACUUGAAUUAGAAGUUUCUAUCCCUAGAAAACUUUAUGAUGAGUGGGAACCAACUAUCAAAAUUAAAAUUAAAGAUCAUGAAUGCUAUACUUUAUGUGAUUUGGGUGCUAGUGUUUCCACGAUUCCAAAGACUUUGCGUGAUUUGUUAGGUUUCUUUGAUUUUGAUGAUUGUUCUCUAAACUGGCACCUUGCGGAUUCCACUAUUAAGAAACCUAUGGGAAGAAUUAAUGAUUUUAUUAUUGUUGCAAAUAGGAAUUAUGUGCCCGUAGAUUUUAUUGUUCUUGACAUAGAUUGCAAUCUUUCAUGUCCUAUUAUUCUUGGUAGACCUUUCCUUAGAACGAUUGGUGCAAUUAUUGAUAUGAAGGAAGGAAAUAUAAGAUUCCAAUUUCCAUUAAGGAAAGGCAUGGAAUACUUUCCUAGAAAUAAAAUAAAAUUACCUUAUGAAUCUAUUAUGAGAGCCACUUAUGGAUUUCCUACCAAAGAUGGCAAUACCUAG
rnacentral:rRNA from 1 species